rnacentral:rRNA from 1 species
GAUGAACGCUGGCGGCGUGCUUAACACAUGCAAGUCGAACGGAGAGGCCCAAGCUUGCUUGGGUACUCGAGUGGCGAACGGGUGAGUAACACGUGGGUGAUCUGCCCUGCACUUCGGGAUAAGCCUGGGAAACUGGGUCUAAUACCGGAUAGGACCACUUCUUGGAUGUUGUGGUGGAAAGUUUUUUCGGUGUGGGAUGAGCUCGCGGCCUAUCAGCUUGUUGGUGGGGUAAUGGCCUACCAAGGCGUCGACGGGUAGCCGGCCUGAGAGGGUGUACGGCCACAUUGGGACUGAGAUACGGCCCAGACUCCUACGGGAGGCAGCAGUGGGGAAUAUUGCACAAUGGGCGCAAGCCUGAUGCAGCGACGCCGCGUGGGGGAUGACGGCCUUCGGGUUGUAAACUCCUUUCGCUAGGGACGAAGCGUUUUGUGACGGUACCUGGAGAAGAAGCACCGGCUAACUACGUG